rnacentral:misc_RNA from 1 species
CUUAGAUAAAGCAAAGAAUUCCAACAAAAGUGUGAUUGAUUUGUAAUUUAUUUUAAUGGUCUUAUGAAGUGGAUGUUAACAUGUGAUUGUUGUCACGUGUUGUUAAUCUAUAUUCUCCAAAAUUACAGAAAGAGAGAGAAUUCUCCCCCAUAAAUUUUCCUAAACCCCAAACAAUGCACGAAAUCAUGUAAAUUAGAGGAAAAACCAAAGGAAGAACAAGAAACAAGUAAAUUAACAAAGAAAUGUGCAGAAAUGGUAGCUUUCUAGAGAGCUCACUUGGAAUCGAAAUUGCCUAAAAUUUGAUUGCACUCCAGGUCCAAUGUUGCCUGCAGGUUUAAAUGAAAUAACAAAAAGCAUACACAAACAGGUUUAAAUAAAAAUAAUGCCAUGGAA